rnacentral:rRNA from 1 species
AUACGGAGGGUGCGAGCGUUGUUCGGAAUUACUGGGCGUAAAGCGCGUGCAGGUGGUUCGGAAAGUCGGGUGUGAAAUCCCCGGGCUCAACCCGGGAACUGCAUCCGAAACUUCCGAGCUAGAGUCCCGGAGAGGAAGGCAGAAUUCCCAAUGUAGGGGUGAAAUCCGUAGAUAUUGGGAGGAAUACCAGUUGCGAAGGCGGCCUUCUGGACGGUGACUGACACUCAGACGCGAAAGCGUGGGGAGCAAACAGGAUUAGAUACCCCGGUAGUCC